rnacentral:rRNA from 1 species
GACGAACCGUGCGAACGUUAUUCGGAAUCACUGGGCUUAAAGCGCGUGUAGGCGGGUCGGGACGUCGGUCGCUGAAAUCCCCCGGCUCAACCGGGGAAGGGGCGCCGAUACGGCCGGCCUGGAGGGACGUAGGGGGGGCUGGAACUUCCGGUGGAGCGGUGAAAUGCGUUGAGAUCGGAAGGAACGCCCGUGGCGAAAGCGAGCCCCUGGACGUCUACUGACGCUGAGGUGCGAAAGCGUGGGGAGCAAACAGG